rnacentral:rRNA from 1 species
UACGGGGGGGGCAAGCGUUAUCCGGAUUCACUGGGCUUAAAGGGAGCGUAGGAGGGCAGGUAAGUCAGUGGUGAAAUCUUCGAGCUUAACUCGGAAACUGCCGUUGAUACUAUCAAUCUUGAAUACCGUGGAGGUCAGCGGAAUAUGUCAUGUAGCGGUGAAAUGCUUAGAUAUGACAUAGAACACCAAUUGCGAAGGCAGCUGGCUACACGAAUAUUGACACUGAUGCACGAAAGCGUGGGGAUCAAACAGG